GGUGCGCCCCGCUGCUGCUAGGGGGGAACACGCGUCCCCGUGGCGUCCCUGCGUUCCACAACCCUCGCCUUACCAGAGCCUUCUCCAACGCCCGGGGGCGUGGACUGUGGCAGGGGACGCGCGAAGGAUCAGGCUCUCCCUAGAGAUUUCCCUCCACAGUGCCACAAGUGGCUUGUUGAAGACUUCCACCAAUGCAGUCUGCAAGGCAAAUCGUAACAAUAAGGGCUUCCACUGGGCAGCUGCCAUCAGACUCAGGCUCCUAUUACAAGUAAUUCCUGCAGUUUGGAUGUAGUAAGCGUGUUCCUGCUGUUGCUAAUCUCUCAGUUACCUCAUAUCCCCAGUUUGGCUCUCAGCGCUUCCAUCACCUCUGCAACAUGUUCUUUGCAUUAAAGUCCCUUGGUUUGGGGCUUCCCUGGUGGUGCAGUGGUUGAGAAUCUGCCUGCUAAUGCAGGGGACACAGGUUCGAGCCCUGGUCUGGGAAGAUCCCACAUGCCGCGGAGCAACUAGGCCCGUGAGCCACAACUACUGAGCCUACGCGUCUGGAGCCUGUGCUCCGCAACAAGAGAGGCCGCGAGAGUGAGAGGCCCACGCACCGCGAUGAAGAGUGGCCCCCACUUGCCGCUACUAGAGAAAGCCCUCGCACAGAAACGACGACCCAACACAGCCAAAAAUAAAUAAAUAAAUAACUAAAUUAAAA